rfam:Gossypium hirsutum cultivar TM-1 chromosome 9, whole genome shotgun sequence
UGUUAAAAAUUUCAUCCAUUUGUAUAGUUAAAAAUUGGCAUGGUUGAUGGAAUAACAAUACAAUAACAUGUGACAUGUGACAUGCCAUGUGUAUCUCAUGUUGAUGUACAAGGACCAAUUUUUAAUAGCAAAAAUGGAUGAAAUUUUUAACA